ensembl:lncRNA
AAUGUUGAUGGAUUCCACUUUUCAAAUGCCCAGUUCUUGGUUUAAUAGAGCAAUAAUGUCCAGCAAAACACACUUCCAUUUGUCAUUGGUCUCUAUUAUGGGAAGAAGAAGCCAACCAGCCUUCACUUUUUGAAUCCUUUUGUAGAAGAGGCACAGCGGCUUGAAGCAGAAGGAGUUCUGUUUGACGGGAGAGCACUUUCUUUCAAAAUAUCAACAUUCAUCUGUGACGCCCCUGCUUGUGCGCUUGUUAGAAAUGUGAAAGGUCACAGUGGAUAUUGUGGGUGUGACAAGUGUGUUCAAAAGGGGGUCCACUACGAGAACAGGAUGACUUUUCACAGAUGCAGAAGAUUUCCAGAGACUCAAAUGAAGAUCCAAGCCCAGAGGGAGGAGAACCAAGCCUGGAGGGGAAGCAAUGCACGAGCAGCUUCGGAUGACUGCAGCUCACUUCAAGAGCAGGUGCAGAUCAGACCCUAAUGCUGCGACGUCUUGGAAAGUUUGGCGAUGUUGUGCGUAGCAUGGAAAACAAAAUGGACACAUUGCUGCAACAUUUCAGUGCCUGUUGUGUCUGUUGGAGAGUUAUCCCUGCCCGGUGGUCUUUUACUCCCCAUAAACACCCAGGAAGAUUUGGCGUUGCUUGACAGCAGCUUGAGGCAGGAUAGCGAGCUCCAGGAACGAUGUCUCCGGUUUUUGGCCAUCAAAUGUGGGAAGGACCUGAAGACAACCGUGUGGAGAAUGCUUCAAAGUAUCUUCUCAAAUCGCCUUCAAUUUCUACAACUUGGACUGGUGUAGGGGCUAAAGCAUGUUUUAAAGACCUGUUCCUGAAGACUAUUGUUCAAAGUAAGUUAGAUAUUCUCUUAAGUAGAUGUUUAUGCGUUGUGUAUUCAAAUGGAAUGACAGAUCUGUAUUUUCUACAGGGGCCAUACGGAAGAAUCCGGCAACCCAGGAUGCCACUGAUAAGGUGGUCCAGGUUAAUGUAAUGCGUUACCUGAAAGGAGCAUCUGACUGCGAAGGUGGAAAAAGGUCCGGCACAACAGAGAGGGACCCACAGCCGACUCCUUAAACCUAGGCUUGUCUACUGUGCGUGUGUGUGUGUGUGUUUGUUUUCUUCUUUAUUUAUAUUGUGUUUACUGACGCAUCUCGUUUCAAUACUGUACUGAAAUGUGGAAUUAAAAUGUCAAAUGGAAAUUUGUCUGGUUUGAUCAAUCAUUAUUCUAGAUAAACUGCAUGCUAUAAACAUUUUAUUUAUAUAA